UACGUAGGGUGCAAGCGUUGUCCGGAAUUAUUGGGCGUAAAGCGCGCGCAGGUGGUUUCUUAAGUCUGAUGUGAAAGCCCACGGCUCAACCGUGGAGGGUCAUUGGAAACUGGGGAACUUGAGUGCAGAAGAGGAAAGUGGAAUUCCAAGUGUAGCGGUGAAAUGCGUAGAGAUUUGGAGGAACACCAGUGGCGAAGGCGACUUUCUGGUCUGUAACUGACACUGAGGCGCGAAAGCGUGGGGAGCGAACAGG
rnacentral:rRNA from 1 species